CCUGCCCUGUGACUAUUAUGUUUAACGGCCGCGGUAUUUUGACCGUGCGAAGGUAGCGCAAUCACUUGUCUUUUAAAUAGGGACCUGUAUGAAUGGCAUAACGAGGGCUUAACUGUCUCCUUUUUCAAGUCAAUGAAAUUGAUCUCCCCGUGCAGAAGCGGGGAUAAACACAUAAGACGAGAAGACCCUGUGGAGCUUUAGACGUCCGGGCAGAUCAUGUUAAGCACCCCUAAAUACAGAUCCAAACUAAAUGAAUCCUGCCCCCAUGUCUUCGGUUGGGGCGACCAUGGGGUAAAAAAAACCCCCCACGCAGACAGGGAGUACUUUGCUCCUAAAACCAAGAGCUCCCGCUCUAACAAACAGAAUUUCUGACCUAAAGAUCCGGCAAAGCCGAUCAACGGACCAAGUUACCCCAGGGAUAACAGCGCAAUCCUCUUUUAGAGCCCAUAUCGACAAGAGGGUUUACGACCUCGAUGUUGGAUCAGGACAUCCUAAUGGUGCAGCCGCUAUUAAGGGUUCGUUUGUUCAACGAUUAAAGUCCUACGUGAUCU
rnacentral:rRNA from 1 species